UACGUAGGGAGCUAGCGUUGUUCGGAUUUACUGGGCGUAAAGGGCGCGUAGGCGGCGUGUCAAGUCGAUUGUGAAAUCUCCGGGCUUAACUCGGAACGGCCAAUCGAUACUGACGUGCUAGAGUGCAGAAAGGGCAAUCGGAAUUCUUGGUGUAGCGGUGAAAUGCGUAGAUAUCAAGAGGAACACCUGAGGCGAAGGCGGGUUGCUAGGCUGACACUGGCGCUGAGUGCGCGAAAGCCAGGGGAGCAAACGGG
rnacentral:rRNA from 1 species